rnacentral:rRNA from 1 species
CGUAGGUGCAAGCGUUGUCCGGAAUUAUUGGCGUAAAGAGCUCGUAGGCGGUUUGUCGCGUCUGCUGUGAAAAUCCAGGGCUUAACCCUGGACCUGCAGUGGGUACGGGCAGACUAGAGUGCGGUAGGGGAGAUCGGAAUUCCUGGUGUAGCGGUGAAAUGCGCAGAUAUCAGGAGGAACACCGGUGGCGAAGGCGGAUCUCUGGGCCGUAACUGACGCUGAGGAGCGAAAGCAUGGGGAGCGAACAGG